UAUGACUGUUUAUUUUAGAACGCUUCUGCAUGGAAUUAUUACGUAGUUGUUUAUAACGUAGCUACUAUCGGGGAAGACGCUGGACCACGCUAAACCAAUCAGAAUCUAAGUUGAAUCUCACCGACACCAUCACCCAAUGAUCUAGAAGCUUCUUCAAACGACAUCGUUGUCCAUGGUAACGGGUCCAGUGUGCUCAGAGAAUAACCAGAUCCUAGCUCGACAACGUGAAUUUGCUACUAUGUCGAUAAACUAACUUGAACAACGAUGUGCCAGCUAUAUGGAAUAUGUUAAUGAUACUGGUCCGUGUGUGUCACGUGGAUUUCGAGUAACGCAAACCAGCUAAAUUAGCCAACUAGGGGUGAGUUCGUAAAUUCAGAGCGUUGUCAGAUUGUCCGUUCGUAAAAACUGGACGUUCUGGCUGAGAAGUAGGGUUGAUCCGAGCGUUCUGACUGGGGCAUACUGAUCUCACGACAGACAAGCACCCAAGCUAACUGGCUAACGUUGGCUAGCUACUUGUCACACAUUAUAGAACACCUCACUGUUGCUGGCAACAAUUUCAUUACGUUAAGCUUAGUCUUUAGUAACUCGAUGAAUUGUGAUACUGAUUUACACUGGCUGUAACAUUCAUCGUCACAGGUUGGUCUGACUUCUCAGAAAACCACGAGGCUCCCAGAAGGUACUGUAACGUUACUGUGCAUUAUUAGAGGUGACCCAUAAACAUACCUUGUGGUUGGUUUGGAAUAUGCUCUUGAAAUCUGUCUCUGAACAAUGCCCCAGUAUUCAGUUACAAAUUUAAUUUAGCGUGUUACCGGUUGCUGAUGGUGGUGUGAGAACUUGUUUUGGGAUGAAAAAAGGAGUAGCUGUGGUAUGUAUGGGGUCUUACAUAUUCAACGUCAUUGAAAUACUAGCCUGGGCGCCAGUCUGUUUUUAGCCAACUCAUUCAUCAUUGUUGGCUAAAGCAGAACCAGACUGGCACUGAGGCUAGCAGAAUACAACAACUUUCAUGGGCUUCAUAUGAAUGCCUACUGCCGUUGUCCCCCUGUACAAGGCACUUAGCCUAACCUGCUCCGGGGAAACUGCUCUGCAGCUGACCCUGUGCUGUUCGGUGGGAUGGGUACCAUGUUCUCAAAAAUACAAGUUUCCAUUGUGUAAUAAAUAAAUAAGGUUUCAAUCUAUGAAUGUUGAUUGUGGUUAUCUUUUCCAGCCUGUGUUCAAGACAUUGCCAGGGCAGAAGUCGCAGCUCAGAAGUGAAGGAAUACACCAAUAAAGGCAAACAGUUCCUGUCCUUUGAGGCCAACCUUACAGAAAGCAUUAAAGCCAUGUCAUUUCUUUUACUUUUUGAUUUGACAUAGGUUACCUUGCCUCGGUUCCAGGCCCUCUACACAUGUUCGUUAACAGUGAUGAACGAGACUUGGGAGUAUGGCAUGUUUCAGGAGCAGACCUUUUUGUACGUGCGAGUUACAUCUACAACCACUACUGUGAAUGCAAGGACCAAGACUACUACCUGUCCGGAGACAAAAUCAAUGACAUUGUGUGUUUGUCUGCUGAGAACUUGGGCCGCAUUGUCCAUGUGUUGGCAUGUCAAGACAGAGUUUGGAGUGUUGCAGGUCAAGCUUUUACCACACUGUCUGUCAUUUAAUCCCAUUUCCAUACAAUCCAACGAGUGUUUUCUAAUGGGUGAAGGGAAAUUAGUACUUCAAAGAGUUUGUCAUUUCUUGCCCAUAGGGAUCUGAGCUAUUGUAUGAUAUUGAAGUCCCUGGUCCUCCCUCAGUUUUGGAGCUGUACAAUAGACAUGGAGGCAAGUACAAUAUUCUUAUACUGAACUCAAAUGUCAAUUUCACACAUCCCUGUACUUACAGUGCCUUCAGAAAGUAUUCACACCCCUUGACUUUUUCCACAUUUUGUUGGUUACAGCCUGAAUUUAAAAUUGAUUACAUUUAGAUGUUUUUGUCACUAGCUUACACACAAAACCCCAUAAUGUCAAAGGGGAAUUCUGUUUUUAGAAAUGACUAGAAAUGAAAAGCUAAAAUGUCGAGUCAAUAAGUAUUCAACCCCUUUGUUAUGGCAAGCCUAAAUAAGUUAAUGAGUAAAAAUGUGCUUAACGAGUCAUGUAAUAAGUUGAAUGGACUCACUUUGUGUGCAAUAAUAGUGUUUAACAUGA